UAGCCCUUCGGGGGAAAGAUUUAUCGGGAAAGGAUUGGCCCGCGUUAGAUUAGAUAGUUGGUGGGGUAAUGGCCUACCAAGUCUACGAUCUAUAGCUGGUUUUAGAGGAUGAUCAGCAACACUGGGACUGAGACACGGCCCAG
rnacentral:rRNA from 1 species